rnacentral:rRNA from 1 species
AGUGAACGCUGGCGGUAGGCCUAACACAUGCAAGUCGAACGGCAGCACAGUAAGAGCUUGCUCUUACGGGUGGCGAGUGGCGGACGGGUGGGGAAUACAUCGGAAUCUACUUUUUCGUGGGGGAUAACGUAGGGAAACUUACGCUAAUACCGCAUACGACCUACGGGUGAAAGCAGGGGAUCUUCGGACCUUGCGCGAUUGAAUGAGCCGAUGUCGGAUUAGCUAGUUGGCGGGGUAAAGGCCCACCAAGGCGACGAUCCGUAGCUGGUCUGAGAGGAUGAUCAGCCACACUGGAACUGAGACACGGUCCAGACUCCUACGGGAGGCAGCAGUGGGGAAUAUUGGACAAUGGGCGCAGCCUGAUCCAGCCAUACCGCGUGGGUGAAGAAGGCCUUCGGGUUGUAAAGCCCUUUUGUUGGGAAAGAAAAGCAGCAGGUUAAUACCCCACUGUUCUGACGGUACCCAAAGAAUAAGCACCGGCUAACUUCGUG